rnacentral:lncRNA from 12 species
GGAUGGAUUGUCUUAACUUCAGCUUUUAUGCCGAGAAAUAAUUGCCACCCCAGAAAGACACUGCGUGACUGAGGGCCUUUGGAGGAGGUCCAGAGGAGCGGAGCAAGAACAAGGUCAGGGAAGCAUGAAGAAUCCCCAGAGAGAGGUUGAUCAGACUCUAGAAAUGAAAACUGCCAGAAG